CAGGGCUUGACAUGGAGAGGCCGUGUCCAGAGAUGGGCAUUCCCGCAAGGGCCUCUUGCACAGGUGCUGCAUGGCUGUCGUCAGCUCGUGUCGUGAGAUGUUGGGUUAAGUCCCGCAACGAGCGCAACCCUUGUCCUGUGUUGCCAUACCUUAAAAAGUGGAACUCGCAGGAGACCGCCAGGGAUAACCUGGAGGAAGGUGGGGAUGACGUCAAGUCCUCAUGGCCUUUAUGUCCAGGGCUACACACGUGCUACAAUGGACGGUACAAAGGGCUGCCAACCUGCGAAGGGGAGCUAAUCCCUAAAAGUCGUCUCAGUUCGGAUUGCACUCUGCAACUCGAGUGCAUGAAGUCGGAAUCGCUAGUAAUCGCGGAUCAGCAUGCCGCGGUGAAUACGUUCCC
rnacentral:rRNA from 1 species